CCUACGGGAGGCAGCAGUGGGGAAUAUUGCACAAUGGGCGAAACCCUGAUGCAGCAACGCCGCGUGAGUGAAGACGUCUUUCUGUAUGUAAAGCUCUAUCAGCAGGGAAGAAGAUGACGGUACCUGAAUGAUCCUCCCCGGCUCCCUACGUUCCAGCAGCCGCGGUCAUACGUCGGGAGCAAGCGUUAUCCGGAUUUACUGGGUGUAAAGGGAGCGCAGACGGAAGUGCAAGUCUGGAGUGAAAGCCCGGGGCCAAACCCCGGAACUGCUCUGGAAACUGUGCGGCUAGAGUACUGGAGGGGCAGGCGGAAUUCCUAGUGUAGCGGUGAAAUGCGUAGAUAUUAGGAGGAACACCAGCGGCGAAGGCGGCCUGCUGGACAGUAACUGACGUUGAGGCUCGAAAGCGUGGGGAGCAAACAGGAUUAGAUACCCCAGUAGUC
rnacentral:rRNA from 1 species